rnacentral:tRNA from 1 species
AUUCUUAUAGCUUAUAUUUUAGAGUUUAAUAUUGAAAGUAUUAAGGAGUAAUUAAUUUGCUGGGAAUA